rnacentral:rRNA from 1 species
UACAGAGGGUGCGAGCGUUGUUCGGAAUUAUUGGGCGUAAAGCGCGUGUAGGCGGUGGGGCAUGUCGGGUGUGAAAGCCCUCAGCUUAACUGAGGAAGUGCGCCCGAAACUGCCUUGCUGGAGUGCCGGAGAGGGUGGCGGAAUUCCCGGUGUAGAGGUGAAAUUCGUAGAUAUCGGGAGGAACACCAGUGGCGAAGGCGGCCACCUGGACGGACACUGACGCUGAGACGCGAAAGCGUGGGUAGCAAACAGG